rnacentral:rRNA from 1 species
CGAGAGGACAUGUGGAGCUUCUAGAAGUGAGAAUGCCGGUAUGAGUAACGAAAGACAGGUGAGAAUCCUGUCCGCCGCAAGACUAAGGUUUCCUGGGGCAGGCUCGUCCGCCCAGGGUAAGUCGGGACCUAAGGCGAGGCCGAGAGGCGUAGUCGAUGGACAACAGGUUGAAAUUCCUGUACUGCACCGAAUCGUUAUGAGCGAUGGAGGGACGCAGGAGGCUAGCAGCGCGUGGUGCUGGAUACCACGUUCAAGCGUCAAGUCUGAGAGUGAGUCAAAUGCUUGCUCUCAUAAGGACAAGGCGUGAUGAGGAGCGAAAUUAAAGUAGCGAAGGCUGCGACGUCACACUGCCGAGAAAAGCUUCUAGCCAGAGACGGUGCACCCGUACCGCAAACCGACACAGGUAGUCGAGGAGAGUAUCCUCAGGUGAGCGAGAGAACUCUCGUUAAGGAACUCGGCAAAAUGGCCCCGUAACUUCGGGAGAAGGGGCGCUGGUCGCAAGAUCAGCCGCAGUGAAAAGGCCCAAGCAACUGUUUAUCAAAAACACAGGCAUCUGCAAAAUCGUAAGAUGAAGUAUAGGUGCUGACACCUGCCCGGUGCUGGAAGGUUAAGAGGAGAGCUUAGCGCAAGCGAAGGUUUGAAUUGAAGCCCCAGUAAACGGCGGCCGUAACUAUAACGGUCCUAAGGUAGCGAAAUUCCUUGUCGGGUAAGUUCCGACCUGCACGAAAGGUGUAAUGAUUUGGGCACUGUCUCAACGAGAGACUCGGUGAAAUUAUAAUACCCGUGAAGAUGCGGGUUACCCGCGACAGGACGGAAAGACCCCAUGGAGCUUUACUGCAGUUUAAUAUUGGGUAUCUGUCAAGCAUGUACAGGAUAGGUAGGAGCCGGAGAAGAUAGGACGCCAGUCUUAUCAGAGGCGCUGUUGGGAUACUACCCUUGCUUGACGGAUGCUCUAACUCAGGCCUGUGAUCCAGGCCGAGGACAGUGUUUGACGGGCAGUUUGACUGGGGCGGUCGCCUCCUAAAGUGUAACGGAGGCGCCCAAAGGUUCCCUCAGAAUGGUUGGAAAUCAUUCGCAGAGUGUAAAGGUAAAAGGGAGCUUGACUGCGAGAGAGACAACUCGAGCAGGUACGAAAGUAGGGCUUAGUGAUCUGGUGGUACCGUAUGGAAGGGCCAUCACUCAACGGAUAAAAGCUACCCUGGGGAUAACAGGCUUAUCUCCCCCAAGAGUUCACAUCGACGGGGAGGUUUGGCACCUCGAUGUCGGCUCGUCGCAUCCUGGGGCUGAAGUCGGUCCCAAGGGUUGGGCUGUUCGCCCAUUAAAGCGGCACGCGAGCUGGGUUCAGAACGUCGUGAGACAGUUCGGUCCCUAUCCGUCGUGGGCGUAGGAAAUUUGAGAGGAGCUGUCCUUAGUACGAGAGGACCGGGAUGGACGCACCGCUGGUGUACCAGUUGUCUUGCCAAAGGCAUCGCUGGGUAGCUAUGUGCGGACGGGAUAAGCGCUGAAAGCAUCUAAGUGCGAAGCCCCCCUCAAGAUGAGAUUUCCCAUUUCUUCAAGAAAGUAAGACACCUCAGAGACGAUGAGGUAGAUAGGCCGGGAGUGGAAGAGCCGUGAGGCUUGGAGCGGACCGGUACUAAUCAGUCGAGGACUUGACCAAAA